UUCAAUAUCCAUAUCAAGUGUUUGGUAAAUGCGUUUAUGAAUGAUCUUUAAAAACAUUUUAAGUGUGUGAGACAUCAGGCUUAUGGUGCGGUGGUCGGUGCAUUCUCUAGCAUUUUUCUUUUUUGGGAGACAAAUAAAUGUUGAGGUCAACCAUUCGUUGGGUAUGUCACCCGACUGAUAAAUUUCAUUAAAGAGCUUUAAGAGGACAUCUAUGUACUUAUUUUCUAUUAUUUUAAGGAUAUCGAUAGGCAGUUGAUCUGGCCCCGGGCUUUUUCCGUUACUGGUGUUUUUUAGUGCAUACAAUAUUUCUUCCUUUGUAAUUUCUACACUUGU